GAUGAACGCUGGCGGCGUGCUUAACACAUGCAAGUCGAACGGAAAGGCUCCUGCUUGCAGGGGCACUCGAGUGGCGAACGGGUGAGUAACACGUGGGUGAUCUGCCCCGCACUUCGGGAUAAGCUUGGGAAACUGGGGCUAAUACCGGAUAGGACCAUCGUCUAGUGUCGGUGGUGGAAAGUUUUUUCGGUGUGGGAUGAGCUCGCGGCCUAUCAGCUUGUUGGUGGGGUAGUGGCCUACCAAGGCGUCGACGGGUAGCCGGCCUGAGAGGGUGUACGGCCACAUUGGGACUGAGAUACGGCCCAGACUCCUACGGGAGGCAGCAGUGGGGAAUAUUGCACAAUGGGCGCAAGCCUGAUGCAGCGACGCCGCGUGGGGGAUGACGGCCUUCGGGUUGUAAACUCCUUUCGCCAGGGACGAAGCGAAAGUGACGGUACCUGGAGAAGAAGCACCGGCUAACUACGUG
rnacentral:rRNA from 1 species